GACAAAGUAAUGCUCUGCAGGAACUGGCUGGUUUGAGGAUGAAAGCUGAGAGGCUGGUUGGUGCAAGGAUAGCAGCAAAAUUGAGAUUGAGGCUGGCUGCCGAGGCUUAAGUCAGAGGUGCAGGGGAGGGGAUGGGGAGGUGAAGGAGCAGAGUGGCUGGUGGUACUGAUGAAGAAGGCACAAUUUAAGGCUUCAGAUUGAGUGGUGAGAGGCUGGGUGGAGAAGCACUGCAGCCCCUGGCCAGCUGUAAUACCGUGUGGGCAGCAAUCAUCUGACUGUGUGGACCAGCAGAGCCAGGGUACUGCAGCAGAUGAUUGUCUGACGAGAUGCAGGUGUGCAUGCAGGGGGCUCCAGCACCUGGAAGCUCAAUCAGUCUGUGAAAGAAAAAACCCAGGGGAAGCCAGAGCAAAGUGUUUUCAGUUCAAGGCAUGAAAGCUUUCAUUUGGUGGAAAUUGUCACAUGACAGUCUGAAGAAUCUAUUUCACCUCAAGGUAAUCCGGAGGGGGAGAGCGUUCACACACAGAAGUCAAACCUGCCAGAGGAAUUGUCUUUCAGGCAUGAAGCACUUUUAAAGUGGAUUAAUGUUUCUAUUUAACAUCUGUUUUUUGACUUUGCUUUUGAUUACUUUUGUUUGAAUUCUGAAAAAAAAAUAUAGCACCUCAGUUGAGGUUAACACGCCAUAAAAUGUGAAACCUUGUCUCUUUCAAGUUUAGAUUUUCUCUCACAGAUCCAUCAUAUAAGAAGAACAACUGUGGUGAAAAAGCUAUUGUGAACAACAAACAUUAUGCUGUGCCUUUCUAUAGAAAAAUAAAAUAAAUACUUCAUGACACCGAC